GAUGAACGCUGGCGGCGUGCCUAAUACAUGCAAGUAGAACGCUGAAGCUUGGUGCUUGCACCGAGCGGAUGAGUUGCGAACGGGUGAGUAACGCGUAGGUAACCUGCCUCUUAGCGGGGGAUAACUAUUGGAAACGAUAGCUAAUACCGCAUAAAAGUCGAUAUCGCAUGAUAUUGAUUUGAAAGGUGCAAAUGCAUCACUAAGAGAUGGACCUGCGUUGUAUUAGCUAGUUGGUGAGGUAACGGCUCACCAAGGCGACGAUACAUAGCCGACCUGAGAGGGUGAUCGGCCCCACUGGGACUGAGACACGGCCCAGACCCCUACGGGAGGCAGCAGUAGGGAAUCUUCGGCAAUGGGGGCAACCCUGACCGAGCAACGCCGCGUGAGUGAAGAAGGUUUUCGGAUCGUAAAGCUCUGUUGUAAGAGAAGAACGAGUGUGAGAGUGGAAAGUUCACACUGUGACGGUAACUUACCAGAAAGGGACGGCUAACUACGUG
rnacentral:rRNA from 1 species